CAGGUUACCGGAACUAAACCAUUCACCACCAGAACUAAACUAGAAGGUGAAGAUGUGUGCUGAUAAUGGUUAAUCAUUUAUAAUUCCAUGGACUGGUUGGGAGCCAAUGUACUAGCAAAGCCACAGCCCCACACAGUCUCCGGUUGCCCCAGAAGCAGGGUGGAGACGAUUGGCAGCCCAGGGCAAUCCCAUCUCCCAGCUAACAUUUGCUGAGCAGCAACUAAGCUGAAGGUGUGGGAAAAGAAGACACGAGAAUCCCAGACUGCCUGCCAGGAGCUCAGUCUCGCUGGAGGGGGCAGAGUGGGGUGUGGGUCAGAGUGGUGGCCAAGUAUGUGAAUGCAGAAGAAUCCAGAAGGUGAAAUCACUUCUUCCUGGAGCUACCAAAGAAGAUUCAGGGAGGAGAGUGACCCAAGCCAGUUCCUACAAGUGGACAGACUUUUUGCCAAGUGGGAGAACCAAUAGUGAACAAAUAAAGUGAGUCCUCACUUAACAUCCUCAACAGGUUUUUAGCAACCAGGACUUAAAACGAAGUGACACAUAACGAAAGCAUGUCCUCAAAAAACAUCCUCUUAUUCAAUGUCAGCUGGCCAGGACUCCCUUUUUCUUAUCAAAGUUAUAGAGACAAUGUUGAACGAAAUGCUAUGCAAGGAUUCCCUGCAAGGACCUUCCCAGAAAUAACCAGAUGUAGGAGCAAGCACAGCUCUGAACCUGGCCCAGAUCCUCUCCUCACUGCCGCCCAGUCUUCGCCCACAGAUGAUAGUGGCUGAGGUCCAGUUGGGUCUUGCAAAAUCAAGAGUUUCCCUCUCCGAGGCUCAGGACACACACAAGACAUCAAGUCCACCGUAAUGCAUGAUCAAUAAAGUCUAAUUAAAUAGGACGUCAUAUUACAGGUCUUCUUUGUCACAUUCAGACCUAAUCUAAUUAUAAGUCCACUGUA